UGUCAGUUUACAGAAAGAUCAGUGAAGUCAGUUCAGAGAUACCUCAGUAUGCUAAACCAAAUCAAAUUUCCACUGUUUUCAAAGUGGUGACACUGAUAAAUGAUUUUGGACAUCAGUAACUAAUGAGGUAUACGAGAGAGUCUCAGAAUAAGUUGUAGCUUUCAUUUGAUCAGAUGGACUCAAGGACAGUCACUGAGGUGUAAGGGACUACAGACUGGAGCCUUUCUGGCAGUUUCAAGAAGCCAGUGACAAGGCCUCUGAAGCUACCUUACAUACAGCAACCAACAGACUGAGGAAGAAGGCAGACUGCUUGGAUAAAUCCUCAGAAAAAAACAUUUUAUUUUGCCAUAUCCUGUGUCAUUUACUUAGCC